AUAAAACAUAAAAUAAAAAGGUUAAAUUUGAAAUUUGAAACAGAAAACCCUUCCUGUAUCUUUCACUUCCUCUCUUGUGAAAAAGAAAACCCUCACCUUCUUCCCUUUCGUUCAUUGGCAACCGAAGCCGCCUCAACCAAGCAAUCCAACUUCGCCUCAAUUGAGGUAAGCGGAUUUCCCCUGCUCUAGUCCAAGCAAUUGAAGGCUCCAGGAUCGCGAUUGUGGCGUUCUCCCCCAACUUCGCCACCUCAACAUAGGUGCUUGGACGAGCUGGUGCAAAAUCCCCGAGUACCGGGAGCUGAUGGGCAGCUGGUCCGAUCGGUGUUCCAUCACGUUGACCCGUCGCAGAUGAGGAAGGCGACGAGGAUUUUUGCUGCUCAAAUGGCCAAGCAUGUUGGCAGCACAUGGUCAAUUAAGGUCUUGUAGGAUUUAAAUUUGAUAAUAUGUGUCACCUGUUAUUAUGAAUGAGGACAAAAUUCUGCAAAUAUGGCAAGAACACGUGCAAGAACAUUAAGGGGGAAGUACGAGUGUCUUCGGGGGAGGCUUCCGUAGGCUCAAAUACCUCAAGGAACUCGCCGGAAGGUGAGAGCCAAACUCAACCUCCAGAAUCGAUGGAAGAAGUGCCUCCAACUCCAACCGGAGCCUAUGAGAAGACGAGGACCGACAAACAUGUCGGACAUUUGGACUCCCCCAACAAGUUAAGUUGAUAGAGGAAGCAAAGGAGUGAUUUUCGAGGCAAUACCAGCAAUUGCUUGCUAAAUUCUUGAAGCAUGGAGAAUUGCUUUCGUAGUCUACUCGGAAUUCGAACAAGCAAGGAAGCGGGGGUUUGGUUAACGGCGCAACCCAAUAAGUGCUUCUGGAGUUGUAUUUGGAUUUGCUAAUAUGUGUUAACUUUAUUAUUGUGACAGUGCUGAUGCAUAAUUUCCUAAUUAUGAUGUUGGGAGACUGGUUUGGAUUUGUGUUGGAAUUAGUAGUAUGUGUUAACUUCUUAAUUAGUAGUUGUGACAGUAUUAAUGUAUCACUUCUUAAUUAUGAUGUUGGAAUUAGUAGUAGAUGCUUUGUACUGAUAAACUGUGUUGCAAUGUAGA